AAGGAAUUAAUUGAAAGCAAGGUCACCCAAGAUUUCCCACGUAACUGAUGAAGAAAGCUCUCUGUCAUCAUAGGGAAAUAUCUGACCAACUGCAAGGUGGAAGCUAAAAUGAGGGAUACACUCUUGAGGGGUAUUUCAGUAGAGACCAGUAGUGCCACAUCCUCUUCUUCCUGUUGGUGACUGGUGGAUGAGAAGACUGUCUGAAGAAUGUGAGGAUAGCUCUAUCUGGCAUAUCUUUCGAUCCACCCCCUCAAAGCAGAUAAUAUUCAUUUCCAGCAUGCUAAUGCAAGAUAACAAGGAGGCCAGCACAAAGCAUUCCUCCAGUGGAAUCUGUGAGAAUAAAAAGUGACUGGAUACUGUCAGUUAACCCUAAUCCAAAUGCAAAGAGCUCACCCUAUUAACAAUGAGUCAUUUUUUACAUGUUUCUUAGAUCUAAAACUAUCUUGUCCCUAAGUAGCCUUUAUGAAAUGUACAGAUUUGAAUUCAUUGCAGGACUGGAUUUGCCACAACUACCACUGGAACUCUAUUUUUUCCUUUUUUAAAAUAAGAAAAAGAAGACGGAAGAUUUUAUUUUACGAUCCAUUUAAUGGCAUGUUUUUAAUAAAUAUGAUCCUUCUUUGUGAAAAAAAAAAAAAAUCCUUUUGUAAAAACAAACUAUCUCAGAUCAUAGAGCUGAUACUUCAAAGAAGUCUUUGCAUCGACUGAAUAAUGAGUUGCAAAGAAACUAUGGUAUGGACUGGAAUCCAUCUACUAAUGAAGAAUUGAACUUGCAUUUAUACACACAGUUUCACUACCCAGCUCAAAUUGCAGAAGACAAUGCUUUUGAGCCAACUGCAGUCACCAAACUAUCUCAACUCUUUCUAGUGAUCUGAUUCUUGUUUUUCAUUUGCCUUUUUCACUUGUAAUCAAAAUCAUCAUCAGUCACUGCUAAUUUAAACUUAUGAUUAAAUAAUAUCAGCUUAGUUUAGUGGUCAUCAUUAAGAGAAAGGAUUUGCCAACAGCUGAUCAUGUUGUUGUUCCUAAUGACUCUGCUCCUAGAAUUCCAUUCUACAAGGACUUGCUCACGUCAGUAAGAUUUACACAUAGGAACAUGGUUUUGAAAAAUUCUUUAAUCAUGAGAUGCUGCAGAACACUCAGUUCUCCAUCAUUAAAUGGAGAAAUAUUUUACGAAAUACUUUUUUUCAGAUUUGCAUUAUAAAGCAUAGAAA